GAAAACCUGGAAAGUAUCGUUGGAUCGAAAAAUGAACGUCUAAGAUUCGUCCACAUCAUCACAAGUAAAAAUUUUAUUGUAAAAUUACUUAAGGUGACGUGGACGAAUCUUAUACGUCCAUUUUUUUGAUUCAAUAGUAAUAAUUUCCAGGUUUUC
rnacentral:pre_miRNA from 1 species